CGACAAUAGGCUUCUCCUACCUUUUGGUAGUGGACCAAUGAAGUCGAUGCCCCACUUGGCGAAUGGCCAAAGGCUGGUCACUAUAGAGAGGCUCUGAGCAGGCUGUCUUUGCACGUUCGAGAAGCGCUGGCAUUUGUCACAUUUCUGGACAAAUUGGCAAGCAUCCUUUUUCAGGGUUGGCCAGAAGUAGCCCUGACGGAGAACCUUGUGUGCCAGAGCCGUCCCUCCGGAGUGAUUUCCGCAGAUCCCUUCAUGUAUCUCUCUGAGUAUGUAGGUGGCCUCUUCGCCGCCCACACAUCGAAGAAGGGGCGAAGCGAAGCCUCUCUUGUAAAGGGUUCCUUCUUGAAGGACGAAGUGUGCAGCCCUUCUUCUUAAUUUUCUUGCUUCGCCUCUGGAAGCAGGCAGUGUUUGUUCCUUUAGAUAUGCGAUUAUGGGCUGCAUCCACAAUGGGGUGCCU
rnacentral:lncRNA from 1 species